rnacentral:lncRNA from 1 species
CAUAGUAUUCCAUGGUGUAUAUGUGCCACAUUUUCUUAAUCCCAUCUAUCAUUGAUGUUGAACUUGUUUCUCUUUGCCCAUGAAUAACUUUGAAAUGCUGGUAGAAGUCAUGGAACUUCUAAUUAGAAAAUCGCAUCAUCUUAUAAAAAGUAUUUUUCAUCAUUUUAUCUCUAUUUGUUUCAUUCUGUAUAAUCUCCACUGAUGUAUCUUCCAGUCCUCUAUAUCUUUUUUCAGCUACAUUUAGUCUAAUUUUUAUGACUAUCUUUUUCAUAUAUGGAAAUUCUUUUUUUCACAGCUGCAACCUGAAGUAUAGAAGAGCAGUUUUACAUCUGCUUUUGCUAGGUACUCUAGCAUGUUUAUGGUGGGUGUUUCCUUAACUGUGGUGUAAGUUGAAUAUAGUCAGUUGGCUUUGUUUCUGGAUGUUUUCAGAGGGUCAAGGCUCUGUGCAGGAUCUUUAGUUGUGACUGACUUGCCCUUGGUUUCACAGGAUAUGUUAGCAAAAUAUUUUUGGUGUUGUGG